UACGAAGGGGGCUAGCGUUGCUCGGAAUCACUGGGCGUAAAGGGUGCGUAGGCGGGUCUUUAAGUCAGGGGUGAAAUCCUGGAGCUCAACUCCAGAACUGCCUUUGAUACUGGAGAGCUUGAGUCCGGGAGAGGUGAGUGGAACUCCGAGUGUAGAGGUGAAAUUCGUAGAUAUUCGGAAGAACACCAAUGGCGAAGGCGGCUCACUGGCCCGGUACUGACGCUGAUGUGCGAAAGCGUGGGGAGCAAACAGG
rnacentral:rRNA from 1 species